CACAAACCCCCCUCGUGCACACGGGCGCCCUCAAGCACACCCACACACUUGAAAUGAAAGCUUCCGGUUUGGCCUUCCUUGCAGAGUGGCGCCCUGCUGAGGCGAGUCUUCGUACUGCAUCGCAACACAUUACACGUCACCGCAAAAGAAACAUCUUCCGACUAAGAUCCGGUUUAAAUGCUGAUAAUUUGUAGGGCCGCUUUCGAAGGGAAUUAAGCGUCGCUCAUACUUGUGUCAGUGGAGUCAAAUGUUACCGUGGCCAUCGCUCCAAGGCAAUAAGAGACAGAGGCGAUGUGGGGAAAUUACCCAGCGUGCAGACUGAGUGACCGCCACAUGGCAGAUGUAUAACCUGUAAUCAACGAGCAGGGGUGUCAGUGAGCCGUGAACCUACCAGAGCCCUGUUCCCCACACGGGGAUGAAGGGUAACGUCUCCACUGAUCUAUGAAACCACAACAGACCACGGCUGAUCCUGAAACAGCCACAAACGGCGCUGACCUCAUCGGGAUUGAGAAGCA